GUAAUGAUGGCCAGGCUGUCUCCACCCGAGACUCAGUGAAAUUGAACUCGCUGUGAAGAUGCAGUGUACCCGCGGCAAGACGGAAAGACCCCGUGAACCUUUACUAUAGCUUGACACUGAACAUUGAGCCUUGAUGUGUAGGAUAGGUGGGAGGCUUUGAAGCGUGGACGCCAGUCUGCGUGGAGCCGACCUUGAAAUACCACCCUUUAAUGUUUGAUGUUCUAACGUGGACCCGUAAUCCGGGUUGCGGACAGUGUCUGGUGGGUAGUUUGACUGGGGCGGUCUCCUCCUAAAGAGUAACGGAGGAGCACGAAGGUUGGCUAAUCCUGGUCGGACAUCAGGAGGUUAGUGCAAUGGCAUAAGCCAGCUUGACUGCGAGCGUGACGGCGCGAGCAGGUGCGAAAGCAGGUCAUAGUGAUCCGGUGGUUCUGAAUGGAAGGGCCAUCGCUCAACGGAUAAAAGGUACUCCGGGGAUAACAGGCUGAUACCGCCCAAGAGUUCAUAUCGACGGCGGUGUUUGGCACCUCGAUGUCGGCUCAUCACAUCCUGGGGCUGAAGUAGGUCCCAAGGGUAUGGCUGUUCGCCAUUUAAAGUGGUACGCGAGCUGGGUUUAGAACGUCGUGAGACAGUUCGGUCCCUAUCUGCCGUGGGCGCUGGAGAACUGAGGGGGGCUGCUCCUAGUACGAGAGGACCGGAGUGGACGCAUCACUGGUGUUCGGGUUGUCAUGCCAAUGGCACUGCCCGGUAGCUAAAUGCGGAAGAGA
rnacentral:rRNA from 1 species